rnacentral:rRNA from 1 species
AACGAACGCUGGCGGCAUGCCUAACACAUGCAAGUCGAACGAGACCUUCGGGUCUAGUGGCGCACGGGUGCGUAACGCGUGGGAAUCUGCCCUUCGGUUCGGAAUAACUCAGGGAAACUUGAGCUAAUACCGGAUAAUGACGUAAGUCCAAAGAUUUAUCGCCGAAGGAUGAGCCCGCGUAGGAUUAGCUUGUUGGUGGGGUAAUGGCCCACCAAGGCGACGAUCCUUAGCUGGUCUGAGAGGAUGAUCAACCACACUGGGACUGAGACACGGCCCAGACUCCUACGGGAGGCAGCAGUGGGGAAUAUUGGACAAUGGGCGAAAGCCUGAUCCAGCAAUGCCGCGUGAGUGAUGAAGGCCUUAGGGUUGUAAGCUCUUUACCCGGGUAUGAUAAUGACAGUACC